GCUGUUGUAGCUUAGCUAGGUAGAGCAUCCCUCUGAUACGGGGAAGGUCAGUGGUUCAAAUCCAUUCAACAGCACCA
rnacentral:tRNA from 1 species